ACGUACAUAACCCCAAUCCACACACGUUCCGUCACAUGGUCCCGGGUGCCGCGCAAGCGGUCGGAUCCAUGGGGGACGUGGAGGCCCAAC
rfam:Cobetia sp. TCD-24C scaffold_6, whole genome shotgun sequence.